UGAGUACGAGAUGCUACGGCAUCGAAGCAGUCUAUGUCAUACUUCCAAGAAAAGCUUGCACUGUCAGAAACAGAUAAUGCCUGUACCAUAACCGACACAGGUGGGUAGGUAGAGUAUACUAAGGGGCGCGAGAUAACUCUCUCUAAGGAACUCGGCAAAAUGACUCCGUAACUUCGGGAGAAGGAGUGCCUUAUUUUUAAGGUUGCAAUAACAAGAUCCAAGCAACUGUUUACCAAAAACACAGGUCUCCGCUAAGUCGUAAGACGAUGUAUGGGGGCUGACGCCUGCCCAGUGCCAGAAGGUUAAAGAAGUCGGUUAGCAUUCGCGAAGCUGGUAACUGAAGCCCUGGUGAACGGCGGCCGUAACUAUAACGGUCCUAAGGUAGCGAAAUUCCUUGUCGGGUAAGUUCCGACCCGCACGAAAGGCGUAAUGAUUUGGAUACUGUCUCGGAGAGGGGCUCGGUGAAAUAGACUUGUCUGUGAAGAUGCGGACUACCUGCACCUGGACAGAAAGACCCUAUGAAGCUUUACUGUAACUUGAAAUUGAAAUUGGACUUUAUUUGCGCAGUAUAGGUGGGAGGCGUUGAAAAUAUUCUUGCGGGAAUAUUGGAGCCAUCAGUGAGAUACCACUCUUGUAAUGUUAGAUUUCUAACUUUAUAUCAUUAUCUGGUUAAAGAACAGUUUCAGGCGGGCAGUUUGACUGGGGCGGUCGCCUCCCAAAUGGUAACGGAGGCGCACAAAGGUUUCCUCUGAACGGGUAGAAAUCGUAUCUAGAGUGUAAAGGCAUAAGGAAGCUUGACUGUGAGACCUACAAGUCGAGCAGGGACGAAAGUCGGUCUUAGUGAUCUGACGGUGCUGAGUGGAAAGGCCGUCACUCAACGGAUAAAAGUUACUCUAAGGAUAACAGGCUGAUCUCCCCCAAGAGUUCACAUCGACGGGGAGGUUUGGCACCUCGAUGUCGGCUCAUCGCAUCCUGGGGCGGUAGUACGUCCCAAGGGUUGGGCUGUUCGCCCAUGAAAGCGGUACGCGAGCUGGGUUCAGAACGUCGUGAGACAGUUCGGUCCAUAUCCGGUGUAGGCGUUAGAAUAUUGAGAGGAGCCUUCUUUAGUACGAGAGGACCGAGAAGGACAUACCUCUGGUGUACCAGUUAUCGUGCCAACGGUAAACGCUGGGUAGCUAUGUAUGGAGUGGAUAACCGCUGAAAGCAUCUAAGUGGGAAGCCCACCUCAAGAUAAGUAUUCUCGU
rnacentral:rRNA from 1 species